GACGAACUGUUCUAACGUUAUUCGGAAUCACUGGGCUUAAAGGGCGCGUAGGCUGUUUGUUAAGCGGGGUCUGAAAUCCCUCGGCUCAACCGAGGAACUGGGCUUCGAACUGGCAGACUAGAGUGAAGUAGGGGUAAGCGGAACUUGCGGUGGAGCGGUGAAAUGCUUUGAUAUCGCAAGGAACACCGGCGGCGAAGGCGGCUUACUGGGCUUCAACUGACGCUUAAGCGCGAAAGCUAGGGUAGCGAACGGGAUUAGAUACCCGGGUAGGUCCCUGAGCGGGCUGG
rnacentral:rRNA from 1 species